UACGGGGGGGGUAAGCGUUGUUCGGAAUUACUGGGCGUAAAGCGCACGUAGGUGGCGACGUAAGUCGGGUGUGAAAGCCCCGGGCUCAACCUGGGAAUUGCAUUCGAGACUGCAUUGCUGGAGUACGGAAGAGGAGGGCGGAAUUCCCGGUGUAGCGGUGAAAUGCGUAGAUAUCGGGAGGAACAUCAGUGGCGAAGGCGGCCCUCUGGUCCAGUACUGACACUCAAGUGCGAAAGCGUGGGGAGCAAACAGG
rnacentral:rRNA from 1 species